UCCCUGGUGGUCUAGUGGUUAGAAUUCGGUGCUUUCACCACCGUGACCCAGGUUCAAUCCCUGGUCGGGGAA